ACCAGACUCCUACGGGAGGCAGCAGUGGGGAAUAUUGCACAAUGGGGGAAACCCUGAUGCAGCGACGCCGCGUGAGUGAAGAAGUAUUUCGGUAUGUAAAGCUCUAUCAGCAGGGAAGAAAAUGACGGUACCUGACUAAGAAGCCCCGGCUAACUACGUGCCAGCAGCCGCGGUAAUACGUAGGGGGCAAGCGUUAUCCGGAUUUACUGGGUGUAAAGGGAGCGUAGACGGUGAUGCAAGUCAGAAGUGAAAGCCCGGGGCUCAACUCCGGGACUGCUUUUGAAACUGUGUAACUGGAGUGCAGGAGAGGUAAGCGGAAUUCCUAGUGUAGCGGUGAAAUGCGUAGAUAUUAGGAGGAACACCAGUGGCGAAGGCGGCUUACUGGACUGUAACUGACGUUGAGGCUCGAAAGCGUGGGGAGCAAACAGGAUUAGAUACCCUAGUAGUA
rnacentral:rRNA from 1 species